AAUAUUAAAGGGGCCUUUUCACAGAUUUUGGCAUUUUUUAACUUAUUCAUUAAAUGCUUUAUAUCGAUAAAUGUAAACAUUGGAUCGUAAAAGCUCCAGUAAAAAAUCAAGAAUAAAAUUUAAAAAAGGAAAAGAACAUUGCCCGGACCAGGUUUCGAACCAGUGACCCCUAGAGUCCUGCCAGAGUCCUGAAGUAAAAACGCUUUAGCCUACUGAGCUAUUCCGCCAAGUACACAUGCAUGACGUAUUUUAUACCUUAUAUAAGCAAUCUUCGUAGUUUCACAAAAUUUAACGACAAAAACAGAACUCUCCAAAUUAUUCAAUCGUUUCGCGUUGCAACGCUUUAUAAUUUUUAGGUUUUAAAA